GAACCAGCUUCUUGAAAUUCCAUAGCCUGUUCUUGAUUUUGAAAAAUAGAAUUUUCAAAUUGGAAAAACAACAGCCUUUAUUAAGAGAAUUUAUGGAGAGACAAAAUUUUGAAAUUUGUAAGUUUUCGUGAUUUAAGCAUUUGAUUACUCUCUCAAAGCUUUUCAAUUCAAAGCAAAAUUAAUUGCUGCCUUUACUUUGUG